rnacentral:rRNA from 1 species
UACGUAGGUGGCAAGCGUUGUCCGGAUUUACUGGGCGUAAGGAGCGCGCAGGCGGUCGAAUAAGUCGAAUGUGAAAGCCCCCGGCUUAACUGGGGAGGGUCAUUCGAUACUGCUCGACUUGAAGGCAGGAGAGGGAAGUGGAAUUCCCGGUGUAGUGGUGAAAUGCGUAGAUAUCGGGAGGAACACCAGUGGCGAAGGCGACUUCCUGGCCUGUUCUUGACGCUGAGGCGCGAAAGCUGGGGGAGCAAACGGG